rnacentral:rRNA from 1 species
CCUACGGGUGGCAGCAGUGGGGAAUAUUGGACAAUGGGGGCAACCCUGAUCCAGCCAUGCCGCGUGUGUGAAGAAGGCCCUCGGGUUGUAAAGCACUUUCAGUGAGGAAGAACGCCUGGUGGUUAAUACCCAUCAGGAAAGACAUCACUCACAGAAGAAGCACCGGCUAACUCCGUGCCAGCAGCCGCGGUAAUACGGAGGGUGCGAGCGUUAAUCGGAAUCACUGGGCGUAAAGCGCGCGUAGGUGGCUUGAUAAGCCGGUUGUGAAAGCCCCGGGCUCAACCUGGGAACGGCAUCCGGAACUGUCAAGCUAGAGUGCAGGAGAGGAAGGUAGAAUUCCCGGUGUAGCGGUGAAAUGCGUAGAGAUCGGGAGGAAUACCAGUGGCGAAGGCGGCCUUCUGGACUGACACUGACACUGAGGUGCGAAAGCGUGGGUAGCAAACAGGAUUAGAUACCCCAGUAGUC